ensembl:lncRNA LINC00433 long intergenic non-protein coding RNA 433
UAACACAACUCUUUACAAACAAUGAUGACAACUUUUUUAUAUUUUAAUUGUGUCUGCAUCUAUCAGAGCUCUGAAUCCAACUUAAGUCUCCUUUUCUUGACUCAUUAUUACACAAUUUAUUGUUUUGUUCUAAAGAGUUGCAGAUAACACUUUGUUUGGACCAUAAGAUACUAAUAUAUAAAAGGAGGAACAUUUAUACAUAGCUGUUCAAAUUGCAUGUCUAGAUUUGAUAUCCUGAGAAAAAUGUACAACUUUAAUUAAAAAUGUGUGAAAUUUCACAUUCAAAGAAAUCAUUAAGAGACGUGAUAGCUAAGUGCAAUACUCCAUCAUAGGCUGGAUACUUUCAGAGUGACUAACUGUUAUGUUUUAUCUUGGACUGAUAGGUUUCCAGGGACACGGGACUUUCAGUGCUAAAACAUGGACAGUCAAUCAGACUGCUCAUACUGGUUCUGGAACACACACACACACACACGCACACACACACACUCACAGGAGAAAGAGGAAGGGAGAGAGAAAAUGAAUAAAUUAUAAAGCAAACAGGGCAAGUUAUGACAAGUGAAUUGGUAAAGUGUAUAAGGCUCUUCCUUGAACUAUUUUAUUUGUGCAGCUUUUUGGGAGUUUGAAAUUAAUUUCAAAUUUUAAAAAAAUGUUAGGAGGUAAACAAAACAAAAACUCUAUUUAGAUAACAAAUUUUUGAACUAAGUACAAAGUUCUAUUUGGUCUGGCACCUAGAGUUUCUACCCAGACUUGCUCAUGUCCUUUCUUUUUGCCAUCACUCCACACUUUGUCUCAGUCCUUUCCACAUAACACAUUCUUCAGCCUUCAUUCCGUUCCAGAGACAGUCUAUGCACUCUCAUCCUAGUGAGAAUUGCACAUAUUGACCAGGCUGAUUGAAAUACCCUUUCUAAUCCCUUUACUCUGUCUCCCAUUAUCUAGUUAAUUUUGAUUCAAUAUUUAGAUCACAGUUAACUUUUUUGCUUCCUUUAGAGCCUGUGAGAGACAAUACUCCCAGAUUAAAUAGAAUCUUCUUGUUACCAUCUCUUUAUGUGUCAUAUAACACUUAUAACAUUGUUAGCAUUUAUUUUUUGUGAUUACUUGAUGGAUGUCUGCCUCCUCCACUAGACCCUAUGAUUUUAAGUGUCAGAAAUAUGCCAGUAUCCAUUCACCAUUUUAUCCUCUCUGUCCAGAACAGCACCAGACACAUGGAAAGGACUCCACAAAUACUUGUUAAAUGAAUGAAUUCUGAUUCACCUGGCUCGAAAUUUCUUAAGGAAUAAUCAUAUCAUGCUUUUGCUCAGGGAGUGUGGCCACAAUAUCUGGAAAUACUGCUAAAGAAGUAAGAACACAAGUGAAGAUUGAACUUGAAGAUUAGGGAUACCCUUUUUGUAAACAGUAGAUGAAAAAGGAAUGUAUAGUCAGGGAAUGGAGACACCAUUGAAAUAGAAGAGAUUUCAACAUGCUUCAAUAUAAAAAGAAGAGUUUUCUAGAAAGGUGUGGCUCUAGAUCAGAAAUAUGAGGUCAAGGGAAAUUUAUUUCUCAUCUCACAUGGAGAAUACUAAGAAGUGUUAUAGGAAAGAGAAAAUAAACAUAUGAUGCAAC